UUUUCUUGUCACUAAAUUUCCUUCUGGAGAACCUAGUACUAAAUACGAAUGAAAAAAUAUGCAUAGGAUUAUUUUGCAGCCACCACUGAGUAUAUAAAUAAUGAUUUUUUUUUCUAAUAGUGAUGCUAAUGUUUCCCCUAUUCUGCCAUUUCUUUGUAAUCAGGGUCCAAAUCUUGUUGCUUCAAGUCAAGCUACCUUAGGCUAAACUACAAGCAUCUCAGGCCAUUCUGAGAAUAUUAAAAAGAAAAUGAAUGGAAGAUACAGAGCUUAUUCACUUGUUUUUCAGUUGCUGUAAAACAAAAAGGUCCUGUCUAAAUAACACAAAUCUGUUCACACAUCUUUCCUUUUCCUUUGGGUUGCAAUUAAUAAAAAAGUAAAAAUAA